rnacentral:lncRNA from 1 species
GCGUCUUUGAGAGCUGGGCCCCGGGCGCCCAGAGAGACAGCAAUAGCAUCUCCCACUGGGGCCGAGGGCAGAGGGCAGAGUCGCUUCCCAGCCAGGAUUAUGAAGAUAGUGUCUCCCCUAGGGCCAAAGGCCAGGCAGAUUGCUGGGAUGCUGUAAGAAACUGGGGCUUCCUAAGCUCCCGAGUCCUCAGCCAUGACACAAAUCCAGCGCAGUGUCCCCUUGGGUCACUUCGCACUGUUCUCAUGGAACCUGCAGGCAAAGAGACUAGAUGUGAACAUGAAGUUCAUGCUGCCUGCUGGGCUGUCCGUUACCAAGUCCUCUGCCUGCCGGCAUGAGAGGACCGCAGCAGGCUCAUGCAUUAGCUGAGAGCAAUGCAAACUCUCAGCCCAUUCCCGGUUCUGGAGAGUUGGCGCAUAGAUCAUCCUGCCUUACAGACGAGGGUACCGAGACCCAGAGAGUGGAAGCUUCCUGUCCAAGAUCACACACUGGGAAAUGACAGCUAAGGUCGAGAUCCAGAGGACUGGGAAAGGCAGGAGCUGUGAGCGGGGACGGCUGCAGGGGGCAGCUAGGCACGGCAGGAGCUACAGGCCCCAGCCGCACACGGACGGUCACGCCUCUCGGCCUCCCAAGCCUACGCACCCCCAGAGGCUGCCUGUCCCCACAUCCGGCUGCUGGGGCUGAGCAGCCAAUUUGGGACGACCGCGAUAUAUUUAACGGUGAGUCACGCUCUCCCCAGCAAUCAAGGAUGCAGGGAGCAUCUCUGGGAAUCCAUGCCCGAGGGUCGCCAUGGCAACCCCACCCAAGUCGCCUGCCAGCAGCUUGGAUACCAGUGCCCAAACCCAGGCAGAAAAUAGUCUCCCAGGCGGAGUCUGGCCGCAGACGGGAGCAGCCUGCAGCCCAGGUCGCUGGCGAGUACAGAGGAACUGAGAGAAGGCUGUGAGGACUCAGGAAGAAGGACGUCUCCUGGGCCACCAUCUUGGGCCCCUGGCUGGUGGGAUGAGCACCCUCAGCAUGACGCAGUCAGACACCAUUACAUUACAGCGCCUGAGACUACAGCCACCUGGGAAUGUCGACCCUGGAUCACCUUCCACAAUAAUUCUGAAGACUCCAGGACCUCGGACAAGGCAGCCAUGCGCACACACUCAUGUCAAAUAUGAAUACACCAAUGAAGGCAGUUUGGAGCUCAUUCAUUCAUCGACCAAUGAUCCUCUCAGUUGUUCAUUCUGAAUAAAAAUCAGGGACUUAGCCCACAUAGAACUAGAUUUGGUCAUUUCUCUAUCCUCAACUCCUUCCCCUUCUCUUACUGUACUCCAACCCACUAACCCUGUUGCUGUUCCUCACACAGGCACUGUUCUGCCACAGGACCUUUGCACUGCCCUUCUAGCUGCCUAGAAAACUCUUGCCUCAGGUAGACACAGCCUGACUCUCUUACUCCCUUUUUUAGGUCGAUGCUCAAGUGUCACCUUCUCAGAGAGAUAUUAGCAAGACCACUGUAGGAGGAAGCACCCAAUUCAGGCUCAGAGAUAAGGCCAAACACAUGCAUUACAUAUAAUGUAUACCUGAGACUUAGUUUCUUC